rnacentral:lncRNA from 1 species
CCCGCCUGCCAGUCGCCCGCGCUCGCGCUGCCAACUGGGCCCCGCCUGUCAGCCCCGCGCCCGCGCUGCCCGCCCGGCCCCGCCUGUCAGCCGCUCACGCCGCCGCGCGCCCGCGCGCCCGCCCGCAGGAUCUAAUCCUGGUCGUCCGUUUGAGAUCCAACGACUGUAAGCGCCCGAUACCCCUUCGCCCGCGCAUUUUCUUAAAGAACCCCCCUGUUUUCUGGAAAUUGCGCCCGCCGUCCCUGGUUUCUCGCAGUUAGGUCCUCGGACCUUUUAUUUAAUUCAAAAUAGGUCCUUAGGGUAUAAUUUUAACCCCUAAACUUGUAAAAUUCAUAACUUUGUCAUAUGAACUCCAAAUUAGGUGCUUCAAAUUGCAAAAUGUUCAUAAUAUUAUUAUCUAUCUGUUUAUGCAAUGUUUCCCUGCUGCUUCCAUGUCCCAAUUAAUGGUUAAUCAUUAGGAUAAAGUUAAUGUUAUGGGAACCCUAUUUGAGAUAAAUAAAAGAUAGUAGACUUUAAUAAAAGUUGGAGCACUUAAGUUUAUGGACUCAAACACUUAAGUUUAGGAACUUAAACCAGAUAAUUAUUUAAUCCCACCACUGACUUAAACCUGAUUAGUGGAUAAUGAAUCACUUUGUAUAGUCCUCUACCCCAGACCUAGGGAACACACUACUAGAAAACCCCCCUUGUAGCUAUGCUUUUUUGGACAAUAGGCACGCUUUAAUUCGUCUCUAUAUGAAUGUACGCACGCUUUCCAAAAACGUGUUAGAAGCGUCUUCGUAUGGACCGUAUCAGACUUUGUAGAAAUGAUUAUCGUAAGCGUAUAUAUUAGAUGAAUAGACGUUUCAUAGACACGUUAGAUGCAUGUUUAGACACAUUGAUACGCUUUUAUAGAUGCGCAUAUAACAUGUGUCUAUUAUUGUUGUUACGUCAUAUAGUAACGUUUUAUUAUGUGUGAAAAAAUAUAGAUACGAUAUUAUAGAUACAUUCAUAAUUCAUGUGUAUUACUAUAGUCACGUUUUAUAGUGACGCUUUAUUGCGCAUUAAGGAGUAUAGAGACGGUGUAGUAGGUGACACGAAUGAUGACAUGGCAGGUGAUGUGGAUAGGUGACAUGGCAGGUGAUGUGGAAAAAUAACGUGGCAGGUGAUGUGGAAAGGUGACGUGUCAGCUGAACUGGCGAGUGAUACAUUUUAUAGUAAUGCCAAAACGCGUGUUAACAAAAGUAGAAACAAUGAUAUAGCCACGUUUGUAUUGUGUGCCUACGCAUAUCAAUACGUUAUAUAGUAACGUCAAAGUGUGUAUUAAGACCUGUAGAAACGAUUUUGUACAUACAUCUAUAUUUGUUUGUAAUAAUAUAGAUACGUUAUACUGUAACACUUUAUUACGUGCCAAAAAAAGAUGUUUUCAUUUAUAUAUUUAUAUAUAUAAAUGUGCAUCGAGAUGAAUGUUAAAAAAUCAAAUUAUAAACCCUCAAUAAUAUUGCUUUUGGCCUUGGCAAAAUAUCAAGAAGCUAACUAACUCGAUAGCAAACAUGUUCAGUAACUGCCAAUUGUGUUCACAAAGAAGCAAAGCCAAAGUGGCAAUAUCAUACAAAUAUCACUUAAAAAUUUUAGUAACUACUAGAAUCUAACUGAUUCACUUUGCAAUUAUACUAGGCUUCCCAUCUAGCUUUGUCCACGCCAUCUAGCUUUGUCCACGUGCUGCAGGUAUCAACUUGUUGCGGGUACAAGAUGAGCUUCUAGCUUGCUUCACCUAUGAAGCAUGUGUUAGAUCAAUAACUCAAUUUGAAGUUGUUAUGGGGACACAUGUACUAUUUCAAAUAAAAAAGAAACUUACAUGUGUAAUUAGCCAAGGAAUAACAUAGCCAAUAGCAUCAAUUAGUGUACGAAUCUGAUUAGAUGGUCUAGGUACCUCCUCAUAUAUAAUAUUGCCAAGAAGUGUGCAAGGGAAAACUCCAUAUGAGGCAUGGCAUGGCAGUAAACCACAAGUGGGUCAUCUCAGAACUUUUGGAUGCAUAGGUCAUGUCAAGAAGGUAGGUCCUGGAGUCGACAAGCUGUCAGACAGGUCUACUAAAAUGGUUCUGCUAGGAUAUGAAUCAGGCACAAAGGGUUACAGAAUGGUUGAUCCUACAACUGAGAGAUUAUACAUAAGUAGAGAUGUGAAGUUUGAAGAGGAUGUGGCAUGGAACUGGAACAGUGAUAGUUGUUUUCAGUCGACUGAAAUAGACACAGUCGCAUAUGGCAAAGAGCUACCUAUACAUAUGGCGAAGAGAGGGGUCUCAUCCUCUUGUGGAGCUCAUAUCCAAGAAGAAAUGAAAUUGCAGUUAUCAUAAUCCUGCGUGUAAUGACAAUCUUUUUAGGUUGGGAGCAGUGAAUAGAUUUCUUAAAAAAUGAUCUGCAACAUGUACCUAGAGGAAGGGUGGAAACAAGCAUCACAUAUUACAUUUGUUGUGUGUUCAUCAAACCAUACCUUCCAACGGUGAAGAUUGCAAAGGAUAGUAAAUGCCCUCUUUGCUCGUGACCCUUCUUCAACCUGACAAACAGGUGUACAAAAUGAGCUAGGGGGGAAAAUAUGUUUACGUUUUUCAAUAUGUUAAAGCCUGGUACCACACUGACUAAUGCAUUCACGAUAUGUCGCAAAUCUAUAAGAAUUUAAAAGGGUGUUUUGCAGUUUAAUUUUAUUUUUAACCUGUUGGGAAUAUGCUUAGAGGCACAUUGGUCGGGCAGUAGAAAAACAAAACAGUUCACCUUACAUACAAGUGAUAGACGAGGGGCUGACUGUGCUCUCUUAUACUCAAAGUUGGGUAAACUUGUAACAACGAUACUAAUUUAAACUUUCAAUGGUCCUACUUUUUUUUGCUUUUAUCAAGACAUUUUCGGAUUUUUGUAGCCUAAUGCUUUUAACACAUGGCACGUAGACAUAGCUAACCCUUGACCAUGCUACAACACUUAAUAUCAUGUCGCUAGCUUAUUGACCAAAUGACAAGCAUUUUUUCUGACUAAAAAACAACAAUAUAAAUUUAUUCUUAUAAAACAACAUUAAUUAUGAUUCCUAUAAUACAGAUUACAGAAAUAACUAAAAGACUCUAAGAAGGCAUGUAAGUAAUAUGCCAUGUGGCUUCUAGCAAAGCUAUGACACUGAACAAUUGAGUUUAAGUAGAUGUAGUGUAGAAUAAGAUGAGCAACACAGUUCGUAGGGUAAAAACAGUAGAGGAGAAAUAGUUAUAGCAUAGUAGAAUGAGAAGGAAAAUAGUAUACCUUUGGCAUCUUUAGUCCCUGACGGGUUCAAACCUUUCCGAGGUCAUAAGGUAUUGAGUCAAAGAUAAGCGAUUGCCAAAUCCUAUAAAGUGAACAAUUCUGUUUCUCAGUAAAAUUGAUAGUAUUUUUUCAUGUCAAAUACUCAAACCUGAAUACCAGAUUUCAGAUAUUUGAUAAAAUAUUCUUCCAGAUAUAUAUCACCAAACUGACUAAGAUGUUGAAUUCAAUUUAUUAUUUUUGGAGAAUAUAGUAACCAGUUAUUGAAAUAAGUGAUAUAAAACAUUAAACAAGUUAUUGAAAUAAGUGAUAGAAUGUUGUUGUUAGUAUGAAAGGCUUUACCAAUCGACUCCAUGUAAGAUUUUUUAAAUCUAAUAACCAAAUUGAAGCACCAGGACCUAGCUGAAAGACAAAUUAGUUUAUAAAAUGUAGAAUACAUGUGGACAGAAUGUAAAAAACAAAACAAUAAAAACACUACUUUUGAGAAUGUAACUAAGUGAGCCAAGAAUGCAACUAUCUUUUGAGAAUCUCAAACCAAUUUUCUGAAUGUCAAGUGCAUAUGGUCAUAUAGAGUAGUAGAGAUUAUCAGAUGAUCUACCAAAACAUCACUAUCAUCAGGAUACUUAUUUGUUUAAAAUUACAGCAAAACAAAGGUGUCUCCAUACCUUCUCAGUUAUUAGUAAUGGUUGGCAGAGCUUCCUCUCUAGAGACCAAUACUGAAGUAUUUGAUUUAAAUUCAGUUCGCAAUCUAUAAACAGUAGAAAAUGAAGUCAGUAACUUAGAGAGAAAACUUGGUUCCUAAGUUUUUCUGACUCAAGCGAGUCCCCUGAUUUAGUAGUGCAGGGUCCUAAGCAAUAAUCAUACGUUGUAAACUAUUCAAGUCAUCGAGUAAACAAUAUAUGAAAGCACAUACUCAUAGUAAUCGUGCAGAAACUGCAUAGAUAAUCAACGAAUCAUGGAAAGUAAAACAGAGCGAAGAGCAUGCUAGAUUGAGCUUUUCUACUCAAACUUAACAAAGACACCAACAAUUGAACAUGCAUGCUGCUAACUGAAUUGUGACGGCACAAAAUACUGAUAACAGAACAUAGUUUUCAGGCGGGUCACACAAACUGAUUAUAUUAGUCUUGUACCCCACUAGAGAAAAGGUGUUCCUUAAUAGUCUAGUUCCCUAAAAAGAAAAGGGGUACUAUAAUGUACCUCUAGUUUCAAAUUACAAGUUGUUUGGAUUGGGAUGCUUGGGUUGGUGAUGCAUCGAUGUAGUUGAUCGGGUUCGUAUUGGUUCAACUGGCCUGUGUCCACUUAUGGGGUAAUAAUAUUCAUUUCAUCAGAAAACAAUACCACCACAAUAUAUAUCACAUAUUUUCAUACUCCACGCUAGAAGCCUAUGAUAGGGGAAUAUUAAGAACAAGUUGUGAUUUGCACUAAACUGCUUGUUGAUUAGAACAAGUUGUGAUUUGCUCGCACAGGCUUGAUAAUUUGCAUGGAUGCUGAUUCACCUUUCAAGUACUGAUGCAUUUUGAACCCUUUCAUAUAGCAGUUUUAGUUAAGUACUUAUUCAAAUGAAAUGCAGUGCUUAUGCAUGAAUAUUUUCACUCCCUUUACCUAAACUUAUGGCCCUUUAUGUUGUAUCAGGAAUUUUCUUCAUGAUGUUGGGCAUUGUAAUGUUCAUCCCUGGGUUCUACUACACAAGGAUUGCCUACUAUGCAUACAAAGGUUACAAGGGCUUAUCUUUUUCGAACAUCCCACCGAUCUGAAGGAGUGUGUUGCCUGCCUGCUGGUUAUGAAGUGGUGUCGCUGGUUUAAUGCAAAUCUGCCAUUCCAUCCUCCCCAGCGCUUUGAUGCAAACUUGCGCGGACGGCGUGGGCACGUGGAAUCCGACUUGUAACUGGGUGCGUGCACUGAUCAGUGAAACUAUAACGUUUACAAAAGGAAUUACCUCAGCACUGAUUCCUUCCUUGGACAGUAUCUCUGCACCCUGAAGCAAACUUAGCAUGAGAAUGCACCAAAAUAACAGCCCACUAUGAUGAAAAAUUAAGACAGACAAGUGACAUGAGCACUACUAAAACCAUCUAUCACCUAAAUAUCCCUCUUAGGACAAAAAUCAAAAUUACAGUUUUCGAACGGACAACCUUGUAGAUCAGUUUAACAACUAACAAAAGUGCAAAGGAAGGCGAACCGAGAUCGCAUUUUUUUAAAAAAUAACAAAAGUCUGAUAAAUCAACUCUCGAAAUCCAACGCCUACAGCUGCAUCUCCUCAUCAGCUAGGCUGAGAUUUACAACCGAUUUGAAAUCCAAUCAGCGAACUGGACAUCAAAAUCAGAGCCUAUAAAUUCAAUGAAUUCGCCUAAAACCUUUAAAACAAGUGGACGAAAUCUUGGAAUAACUAAAGAAUUCCAUGGAGUAGACGUCUGGAAAAUGUUGAUCCAAUGAUAAUCAUUUGUCCUUAUGGAGUAGUCAAAAUCAAAGGGCAUAGAAAGAUGCAAGCUUGAAUAGCACAAGAUAAGUGAGAGUGUGGAAGUUUACCCGACAUAUGAAGCUGAGAGCCUGAGACAUAAUUUUAAAUUGAACUGUGUAAAGAAUUAAGGAAUACCUGAAAUUCUAUUCGACCUAGAACAGAAUAUAUGAAAUUAGAGUAGUUUGCUUAGAAACGUGGACAAUCUUUAUGAACGAGAGGAGGCUCUAAACAAGUAAUUUGUGUGUUAAACAUUGUUUCGUUUAGUUAAAAUAUGUCCCAUUCAGAAAACUAUAUAUGACUUUCAUGUUACAAGAAUGAGACUUUAAUAAGGUUAGAAACAAUUCAACCUGCAAAGUAUGCCCACCACGUUGAGGUCCUCCUCCCUGCGAGCACCUCCUUUAGCAAUAUCUUGUCCACGCGAGCAGAGGUAUAUAAGGUAGACAUUGAAAAAGAGUUAUGCGAUGGAUAAUUAGAUUGCAAUAAAUUGGGUAUUCUAAAUUAAUGUCUAUUGCUGAAGUCUAAUCUAGUAAAUAAGAUCCUCAAAACUUAAAUUCUAAGUAGAUAUCUACCGAAAAGCUAGAAGGUUCAGAAUUGUGGAUACAUCCCAGAAAAGUAAUUAAGCAAUAAGAGCUGCUUGUCUUUGGUAGAUGUAGCUAUAAUGUUGUAAAAAACCUAAACUGUAGCAGUAAUAUGUGAUGCUAGGAUCCCUACUGCUAUCUUCUAAUAUUGUGAUUUUUACUCCUUGCAGGUCACUAAUAUGUACAUUGAACUGUUAAAGGAGAGGGAAAAAGGAACCCAAUAGGUUUUUGAAAUACCAUUUCUUCAAUACAUAAGCAUUAGGUACCUCUGGACAGUCAUAGUGGGAGGCAAAAAGUGAUUAAUAUAAAAGCUGCUUGUCUUCGGUAGAUGUGGCUAUAAUGUUGCAAAAACCUAAACUGUAGCUGUAAUAUGUGAUGCCAGGAUCCCUACCGCUAUCUUCUAAUAUUGUGAUUUUUACUGCUUGCAGGUCACUAAUAUGUACAUUAUUGAACUGUUAAAGGAGAGGGAAAAAAGGAACCCAAUAGGUUUUUGAAAUACCAUUUCUUCAAUACAUAAGCAUUAGGUACCUCUAGACAGUCAUAGUGGGAGGCAAAAAGUGAUGAAUAUAUUACUAAUAUAAUGAGGUACUAUACUAAGUAUUUCUUUUUCUUUUGAGAUAAAACAUGGUCAACUUACAGAAUAACCAAUUUAGAAAGACAGAAAGUGAUGAAUAUAUUUGUGAUUAAAGGGAUGCAAAAAGGUUCAGAACUUGUGAACUGUGUCAAACAAGCACAAACUUGAUGUUUGCUUCAACUUUCUAAUGCUAACCAGGGAUGAGGUGAAUUCAUUUUGCCAAUAAAAAACCUCAAAACAUGACAUAGUAGCAGUAAAUGGUCAUUACAUGGAUUUCGUUUCACAAUAGUUGGUUGGAAUUAAAUUAGCUAAAAUUUGUAGACAUAAGUAGCGGUCAAAUAGAUUAUAACUAAUCAAUAGCCUUAUACUUGAGAAGACGUAUAGGCAUAGAAUGAAACACCAGGCACAUGGACUUACAAUCUGUCCAAUUAAGAUUCCUCUACUGCCUUGAAUUUUCCUUUUCUAAAUCUAGAAGUUUAGAGCAUAUACUUCAAAAGCUUCUGAAAAUAAAUUUUAUUGCACAUAAAAGGUGGAGGAUAGAAAUGUUGGUUUCUAUUAUAUAAAGUUAACCAUAACCAUUGGAAUAUUAGAUGCAUGAAUGACUAUGGUGAAUACGAGUGCAUGGCAAAUAAAGCUAGUAUAAUACCCUCAGACUGAAAUAUAAACAUUGGUUGGUUAACUAACCUUAAGAACACCCUUGACAAAAUAAUCAGAUCCACCAUUCCUCAAUUCCAAGGCCUCAUAUAUCUCUGAGAGGUCAAUUGUUUAAAGAUAAAAACGUCAAAAUUUUGUGCAUAUGUGCCAAACAUACAGAAUUGGAGGCAAACACAAAAAAAGGUGACCUAUUCAAAAAGCAAAGGUGUUUGGACCACAGACAGAGAUUUCUCAAAAAAAUCCAUCCCAAACCAAAUAGGAGAUAUUGACAUGUCAAAAUUAUUAAACAUGGCAUGGUAUCACAUUUAAUCUUUUUGUUCAACAUCACCAAAGAGCAUAUUGUAAUAUGAAUUACAACUACGUCGACUAAAUCACCGUGGGGCAUGGGGGCUCACCAGAUGUCGACUCUGCCGCGGCCAAAGUACCGGUACAUGAACUAGGGGAUGCAUGAAGGUUGACGGUGCUGAUGCACACCAGCAGUCAGUAGAAGAGAUCGAGCUUGUUGUGGUUGAGGUCCAUGGCGAACAAGCUGGCAGGCCUUCUGCGGGAGCUGUUGUAGUCCUCCACCGUGAUCACCAAGCUAUGGAGUUGUACAACCCCCCAACAUUCUUAUAGCCUGCACGCACAACCCGCACCCAAAAAAUCAGAGUUGGUGAAACAAAGAACCUCGAUUUUGGCUGGGUGAGGCACACAACCAACCUCCGCAAGGCACGUGACCUUGCCCCGGCAGGUUGAGGCGUCGAUGCAGUUCAAGGUGAGGCGUGAUCCGACUCAGGAGGCCACAGUGAGGGUCUCCGGUGGGGGCUAGGUCAAGCGCGCGUGGUUGUUGAGCAGGUUCCGUCACCAGUUCGUGGUCCCGCUGGGCCACCUCGAGCACCUCGUCUUCGCAGCGCUGCUGGAGGAGGCCGAAAGCGAUUUGGCUUACAUCACCUGGCCGCCCCCACCAUCCCCUGUCCAGCCGACAUUGAACCCCAACAACCUUGGGUUCUAUGACAUGGUCAAUAACACCCCCGGCACGCAUGGGGUCCAUCAAUCGGUCGAUCGAGGGGCAUGGAGGAGGAGAAGGGAGUUUAGGGUUAGGGUUCAUGGGGGCGCUUAUCGGUUACCAGAACUCAGAGAGGACCUUGACAUGCCACUUAUGGGAGCUUACGAGUUACCAUUGUGCUGGUGCUUGUGCACUGACGGCGUGACAUCGAAUGAAGGAAGCAGAGGGUGAGAUUCAGAGAUGGAAGGAGGGGUACUGCUCAAUCUGGGGUAGGGAUUGGGAUGGAGGUGGUGUACCUUGAAGAAGAUGUUGAUGCAUAGACCUCAACACGAGUUCCCCCAUGCCCUCCGGCCUGCACACGUCCUCCGAGUUGUGGGGGGCAAAGCCUCCCUGUGCUCCAUUUUAGUGCGGGCGCAACCUCCCUGCGCGGCGGUGGGUUGCGGCCGCGGUAUCCAGGCGUCCGUUCCGGCGAGCCUCGAGGCGGGGAGCGGCGUUUGCGGGUGGGAUCGGACGACUCACAUCGGCGUUUGCGGCGGCAGAAUCGAGGUAGGGACAACAGGGGACGGAGUUCGGGGGCAGCUGAAAUCGGGGGAGCCGGGGAGGGGAGGGAGGCUGGGGCGACGGUUUCGGGGAGCCAUGAGCAGGACUGGUGUGCGGGAUCAGGGUGCGAGACUGAAACGUAGGAUCGGACGGCUGCGAUUAUAGAACAGUGGAACGGAUGGUUGAGAUCGCAGAAUGGCAGAACGGCAGGCUACCCUUGCAGCCUUAAUAAGUAGUAUAGAUAUAGAUAUAGAUACCGGGAGGGCGGUCAUUCCCUCCCGAGCCGCGUUUUUUUUAUACUGCUGCAGCUUAGCUUAAAGGAUAUCAGAUUUUCUAAAAGUGCUUCCACAAUACAAAAUUAUAAUAACCAAAUGACUAUUGUCCUUACUAUAUCUAUCUAUAUGACUAUGAGGUACCUCAAGGCUCAAGUAAACUGAUUUCUGAAGUUUACACUCUCUUCUUGGUUUUGACAUGUGUGUGAUAGAACUCCCCCCCACAAAAUGAAAUACAUGGUCAGGCACUUUCGCGAAAAAAAGUAAAAUGCUUUCAGAAUUUUUUACAUGACUGUAUCCUGAGCAGCUGGUGUUCAGUGCCUUUUUGCCUUAUGAAGCCCUGGGGACACCUCUACGCAUAAAUCUACCUUUUGAUUGUGGUGAUAUAAAACAAUAAUCAGAGUCAGGAAAAGAGUUCUGUAACUCACGUUGAAGGUGCCUGAAGAAAAGAGUAAGCCAAAAAAACAGCAAUCAUCGCAAAUACACCCCUGUUAACAAGAGAUAGUAUAAAUUAGUCCAGAAGCUCUCCUUAAAAUGGUAACCAGCACAUGAGACUAAGAAAAAUGGUGAUCGGAAAUAUUGAGUUCAGUUCAGCACCAAGGAAGCUUCAUAAAAAAAUAUAGCUGCAAGAAAAGGCAAUAGAAGAGGACAAAUCAUUACAAAUACCUCUUGACUGACCAAACACGAUCAGCAGAUGAGCUCCUUUCUGGAUCGAGAGCACCACUUGCCCAACUGAUAAGAACAUGAAACAAUACUUAUCAAACAUAAAUUUCAUGUGCAUCUGCAGUAUUUUGGAUAAUAUAUAUAAUGGUGAUUCAAAUUGAAGAAAAGGGUCCAAAAAUACCACAACAGGCCAUAACCAAUGAUAUAUUAUUAUUAUUUUAAAAAAGGCAUGUUCGUGUCUAUUAAAUGUUCCACAGAUAAAAGACUAUGAACUCACAUUAAAAGGCAUGUUCCCGUCAGCAAGAGCGAGAUCAUUCGAGGCUUGUAUGCCCAAGCCGUCCAUGGAUCUACAUCACCAAAGUAAUCGAGUGGUCUUAUACUACCAUUGCAGACGGUGCCAUUACAACCUCUGCGAAGUUCAUGAUGACCAUUGGCCCCCAUUACAACAGCCUUGGCAAUUUACUAUCUGCAAAAAUAUACAGAGCAGCACUUGAGAAUGCAUAAUAAUCCUACUGACCUUCGGAAGACAAAAAAUCACCACUCUUCCACGAAAAAAAGCAGCAUGUAUCUGUAUCUCCAAUACUUGCUAAAAACUAGCAAAUGAAAAGCAUGCCACUGUGAGGCCACAGAAAAAAAGUAUGUACAAGUGGAUAAAAAGUCAUGAAUGGUCUAGCAUAUCUAAUUAGGCAUAAAAACAUCAGGCUGUAGCUACAGUCGUAACCUUGAAGCAUAAAACCUACUUUGCUAAGUACAAGUUCUGCAUUGCUUGCUCAAUCAUUUGCCAGAGAUCACUUAAUGAGCCCUACUCAGCUCCAAAAUGGUUUCGGUGGCAUUCAAGCUAGGUGCCAAAUUCCAUACCCGAAACGCUUCCAGUUUCUCCAAAAUAACAGAAGGGGUGUGGUGUGCUACAACCAGAGGCUGCGUACGUUAGAGCAGAGCACAGCUGAGAGCAAGGCCGAGCAAAGGAAACAUACAUUCCCAUGAAGAAGACGAAGAGCAGCAAAAGGGAUCGAGCAAUUCAAAAGGAACACAUAUAAAACAGCCCGUGGGUUAAACAAGUGCGGAAAUAGAUAGAUAUAGUAAGGACAAUAGUGCUUCCACAAUACAAGAUUAUAAUAACCAAAAUACUGCAUGGCUGCCUACGCGGUGGAUCUGGUACCCGAGAGUGGAGGUGUAGAGGUUGAAGGCGGCGCGGUUGGAUCGGCGGACGUGGAGGGAGACGUACUCGGCGCCAAAGACCUGGUCCAUGGCUGCCUGCGCGGCGGACAUGAGCUUGGUGGCGAGCCCGAGCUUGCGGUGGGAGCGGAGCACCGCGAGGGAGGUGAUGUGGCGGUGGCGGCGCGGCCCGAUCGCGGUCGCGGUGGCGGCGCGGCCCGGUUGCGGUGGCGCGGCGGCGUCGCGGGCUGCGCGGCGGCGGCGCGGCGGCGGCGCGGGCUGCCGUUGGUGAGAGAGAAGCGCGUGUGGGCGGGAUGAGACAGGGUGAGAGAGAGGAGGCUCGAGAGAGAGAGAGAGAGUCGUGCACAUGGGAUUUGCAUUUAGGUUUUCAGAUUAGUUUGACGGUGUCCACAAGCCCAACAAACUUAACUAAAAAAUAUGGGUACCCACGUUCCUAACUCGUUAAGUUCGACGGUUUUAUCUAGGGCCCACGAAUUUAAAUUAAAAACGUGAGUACACACGUUUUUAACAUAACUCAUGAACUUAACUCAAGUAAGAACGUGGGUACCCACGUUCUUACUUUUACCCACGAAUAUUUAUCAGUUUGUUGUAGUGUUAGCCUCCUAUAAUAUAUAUCACGUUAGCUCUAGUGGAAGAUAUACCACACAACAACUAUGGUGACUAAUAUACCUCGGUAGGUUACAUGUUUUAAAUUUUACACCAAAAACAUCUGUACAUGGUUAAGGAUAAAUUGCUAAUACACAUUAAAACGUGUCUUCAAGUAGUAACGGUUAAAAGCGUAUCUAAUUUCAUAUCAACUAGAGAUAUUUUGUUAUCACAUAAAAAACAUCUCUAUGUGGCUAAGAACGGUUAUUCGAUGCGCUUUAUGACGUAUCUUCAUGUUAGUCACGUAUUGAAAGCAUGUCUAAUUAUGUCAUUUUUAUACGUUUUUAAUUGCAUAUCAAAAAGCGUCUUAAGGUUUCUAUAGACGAUUUUAAUACGUGUUUUGCAACGUGUCUAUAGGUUACUGACGAUUGAAAGCGUGUCUAAUUUCGUGUCAUUCUAAUACGAUUUUAAUAGCGUGUUAAAAAUUGUGUUUAGGUAUCUCUUCACGUUGAAAGCGUGUCAAAUACCGUAACAUUUUGAUGCGUUCUUAAAAUUGUUUCAAAUAACGUCUUUAUGUACCGCCGUAGAGACGCUUUUGUAUGCGCUACAACUAAAACGUACAUACAAGGGGGGUUUUCUAGUAGUGACACUAGAGUGCCUAUCCCUUUUCUACUAUGAACUUGUGUUUUCUCUGCUGCAUAUGUUUGGUAUGUUGCUUUUGUUUGUUACCUUCCCAAGUGCAUAGUGUGAAUGAUUACUUUACGUAGACAACGAGCAGUCUGUGUUUCCCGAGGAGGUUGCAGAGGAAGUCCCUGAUCAGCAGUUUGGUGAAGGCAAGUGUCCUCUGUCCCAUUAUGUCCUAUUCAUUUAUAACUUACUACCCCGCAUUACUCACUUGAAACCUAAGGAUUGACUAGCUUUACACUUUACUUUAUCCUUGAUGACCUUAUGGGCUGUUAUGGUUAGCACUCUGCUAUUGCCUUAACUUAAUCAAUGAACAUGAUGUGACUAUUUAUGAUACUGUUAUCCUGAUGAUGUUGAUGAUCUUGUGAUACUCUAGGGGGCUCAGGCUGUUUCCUGAGCACCUCUCCGUAAGGACUUUUUCGUUGAGAGACCACCCGGGAUAACAGUGCAACCAUGAGGGUGAAAUGGGAUGCCCUUAGCUGAUUAAUUAGAUGAACUAGAGGUGUAGUUGCUUCGCCGUCGUGCCGUCAAUGGGGUCCAGGCACAGUGCUUGCUCUGCCGAGGCUGAGUGCCGAGGUUCUUUCGUUUUGCUUUUUGUUAGUCACUCUCCUGCGGGGAGGGGUACUGUGUUUAUCAAACUGGAGAAACCUAACGGGCAGCUAUGAUCUCUAGGGAAUCUUUGUAAAAGCUACGUAGUGAUGCCCUGCCGGACCACCUAGGAAGUGAUCAAUGGGGAUUAGCUCUCCCCGGGCAGAACGGGAAUCACGGCUCAUGGGUAAAGUGUGCAACCUCUGCAGAGGGUAGUGAAACUGAUAUAUCAGCCGUGCUCACGGUUAAGAGCAGCCUUGGGAUCCUCUUUGAUUAGAGAUACAGAUGGUUCGAGAUACAAGGAUUAUGUUAUGGUUUUGGUUCGACUAUGAUGAUGAUGUUCCUCGAUGAGGAAAUGGUUUACGGGUUGGUUAAUGCUAAAAUCUGGCUUCUACUAAUGAUAAAUACCUGACCAACUAAAAGCAACUGCUUGAGCCUAACCCCACAUAAAGCUAGUCCACUUCAGCCAAACGGGACAUUUGCUGAGUACGUUGAUGUGUACUCAUCCUUGCUUUACCACAAAACACCAGGUUGCCCGCAUUGUAACCACUGCUCAGGAGAAGGUGAAGCCGUGGAAGGAGACUUCCAGGAGUUCCAAGACUACGACGAAUUCUAGGUGUGGGUUGGCGGCAACCCCCAGUCAGCUGCCUGUGGAGGCCUUAUCUUUACUGCGUUUCGCUAGUACUUUGAUUUCCCUGUUAAGACAAUGACUAUGUGGAUGUCUAUGACUCUGUGAUGUAAUAAGUUAAUACUCUUUCAUGUUAUUAUUCGAGCAUUGUGCGAUGAUGUUCAUUUAUGUAAUCGCUGUGUACGUGAGUUCUGAUCCUGGCACGUACAUGGUUCGCAUUCGGUUUGCCUUCAAAACCGGGUGUGACAUAAGUGGUAUCAGAGCCGUGCUGACUGUAGGACCGCUGACCUAGAGUAGCACUGGUCGUACUAAGGACUAUUGACCUUCCCUCUCACCUUGACCUCUGUUGUUACUUCAAAAGUCGGUCACUUCGACCAACCCUAUGUUUUACUACAUAUAUAUACUAUAUUAUACCUUGUCCAAAAAUUUUUAUCUUAUUCUGUCUAUGGUUUAUUCACUUGUCAUAUUAGUUCUGCUCUUACUCUUGUGCUUACGGUGUCUUUUGUAGAUGGCUCGUCUUAGACACACUGCACGUAAGUCGGUGAUUCCUUUCCUGCCGUCUCGACUUGCGGAGCGUCCUCUACACCGCACCGUGUCCGGACAGUCGAGUCACCUGGAAAGGCUGCACCACCGUCUGCGUGAGGAGCAGGAACACCGGCGCCAGCACGGAGAGCAGCAGGGCUCUUCCUCCCCACCCCAGCGAGAGGUGGAGUCCGUGAGGCCCCGUUCCUCUGUUGCCCAGCUGGAGGCGCCCCCUGCACCACCGCGGGACGUCCCAGCUGUUGGAGGAGCUACUGGAGGAGAUCCCGACGACGACGACUCAGACCAUAGCACGGAGUCCUCUGAGCCGCAGGAGGCGGAAGGAUGGGUCGCCCGACCCAUCACCCGUGACGCCGCUCGCGGUUGUCACUUCCACGACGCACUCGACACCUUGCUGCGCCAGGCUUUCGACCGGCACACCUGGUCGAUCGAGUAUCGUUGUGUAGUCUACCAGCACAGUCGCGGGAGGUACCCGGACCGCUGGGAGGCUACCUGCCUAGUUCGCCGUCCGGAGGAUGACCUCUGGGGUGCGGAGGCCGUCUCGGAGCACUACUCCAUCUCCGAGAGGGACACUGCAGAGGCGGCUAUGCAGGAUGCAGCCCGGCGAGCACUCUCCCAGUACUGUUCUUUGUUCGGUGGCGUGGCCGACGGUCUUAACCUUCGGUACUACCCCCGCCGUCCUACUGGCAGCACGGAGAGUGUGGUUGUCUCACCUGUGGGUGAGGGUAACCCUAGGUUGAGCAGCACAGUCAACCUAGUCGCAGUGCUUAACACUGAGCUGGACCACUAUCUGGACGAGCUAAGCAGGGCUCGAACGGAGAUUGCGGAGUUGCGUGCUGAGCUGGCAGAGCGCCAUCACCAGGAGGGUGGUUCCCCCGCUCCUGUUGGGAUUCAGCACCCAUACCGCUCGCCGCCACGUGGUCACCACACUUAUGGUUCCCCUGUCUGUAAGACCAGGAUAGAUCUGGAUCCUUAGAUCGUUAGCGUCGGAGUUUGUAAUAAUUCUUAAGUCAGAUGUCUCAGUCUUAGGUAGUCAGUUUAGUUUGCUUAUCAGUUGCUUCCAUUUAGUUUAGUUGCUUAUCAGUUGCUUUCAUGCUUGUUAUGAUGAACUUGUGCUGGAUUCGGAUCUUUGUAAUGACUGUUGCCAACCCGUGGGUUUCCCCUGCGGUUUGGCCUAGCUAGUAAUGUUAAUGAAGUCAGUUGCUUAGUUGGGAAACCAAUUGUCUCCACUUUCCUUCUUAUCUGCGAAGCUGUGUUGAAUCAUAAUGAGGAUCAGUGAAGCUCCUUGUUCACUCAGUGUCAUGAAGAAUUCUGUAUUCUCUUUUCUUAUGCUGAAGGGUUGUAAGAUCAAUGCUGAUGUGUGAAUGUCUUCCACAGAUGUCUGACAACAGGCGCCGAUGCAACAGGCGUGCUCAGCAAGAGCAGCAUGACCAGCAGGAGGAUCAACAGAGGCAGCCUCCCCCACCACCCCCGAUGUCAGUGGAGCAGAUGUUCUUGAUGCAGACUCAGGCAGUGCAGGCCAUUGGGCAGACUCUGGCAGCCAUGCAGCAGGCUCAACAGCAACCCCAACCCCAAUUGCAAGUGUAGAUGCCCCAGAUGCCACGGGAUAAGCGUGGUGAGUUCAUGAGAGGGCACCCUCCUACCUUCGCCCAUUCUGCUGACCCAAUGGAUGCAGAAGACUGGCUGCGCGCAGUGGAAAGGGAACUGCGCACCGCCCAAUGUGACGACAGGGAGAAGGUUCUGUAUGGUCCCCGUCAGUUAAGGGGAGCAGCCCAGUCCUGGUGGGAGUCCUACCUCGCCACCCAUGCUAACCCCGAAGCCAUCACCUGGGAAGAAUUCAGCGAGAGUUUCCGCAGGUACCAUGUGCCGGAGGGACUGAUGAUCGUGAAGAAGGAGGAGUUUCUGGCUCUGAAGCAGGGACCCCUGUCUGUUAGUGAGUACAGAGACAAGUUUCUGCAGCUGUCUCGUUAUGCACCUGAAGACGUCAACACCGAUGCUAAAAGGCAGUACAGGUUCAUGAGAGGUUUGGUGGAUCCCCUGCAUUACCAGCUGUUGAAUCACACCUUCCCCACCUUCCAGCACCUGAUCGAUAGGGCAGUUAUGACUGAGAAGAAGCGUAAGGACAUGGAAGAUCGGAAGCGCAAGAUGAGUGGACCCCAGUCCGGAGGCAUCAGCCGUCCACGUUUCUCAGGCAGUUCAUCUCAGCAAGGCAGACCUGGUCACCCACAGGGAUAUCAGAAUCAGAAUCAGCGUCCGCAUCAGCAGCAGUUUCAGAGGCAGUAUCAGCAGCAGCAGCAGUAUCGUCAGCACAGCCAGCAGGGAGGUAAUCAGUAUCAGAAGCAGAACAACUAGGCACCUCGCCUUCCUGCCCCCGCAGCAAAUCAGAGCAACCAAGCAGCCCCAGCACAAGGAGGAGGCAGAGGAUGUUUCCACUGUGGAGAUCAAGGCCACUGGGCGAUGCAGUGCCCAAAGAAGUCGGCGCAGCAGCAGACCAACCCCAAUGCUCCAACAAGAUAAGGUGUACUGCAGCCGGCAGCAGGCAAUCGUAACCAAGCGUACAACUGUGGAAAGGUGAACCACUUGGAGGCCGAAGCGAUCCAGGGUGCACCAGAUGUGGCAGUAGGUAUGUUCUCAGUCGAAUCUCAUCCCGCAAAAGUGCUAUUCGAUACUAGUGCAACUCAUUCGUUUGUCACUACAACAUGGGUAGAAUUGCAUAACAUCUCAGUAGAGGCAAUGAUGCCGCCCAUGAGGAUUAAUUCGGUUGGUGGCAAGGUGCAAACAGAUAAAAUAUGCUCAAAUAUGAUGAUGGAAAUAAGGGGGAUAGGAUUCCCCAGUGACUUAAUAGUAAUAGACACCCCUGGGAUAGACAUUAUUUUAGGGAUGAAUUGGUUAAUGAAGUAUGAAGCAAAUGUUAGUUGUGACAAGAGGACCGUAACAUUGAAGUCCCCGUCAGGAGAGGAGGUAGUGGCCGAGCUAUGGAUGCCUAAAUCAGCGGAGGGAGUCUGUCACCAGAUUUCAGUUGAUAGUAAGGAGCCUAACCCGCUCGAGGCUAUCAAGGUCGUGUCAGACUUUCCGGAUGUGUUUCCCGAGGAGCUAACGGGCAUGCCACCGGAGAGAAAGGUUGAAUUUGCCAUAGAGCUUAUCCCUGGUACCGCCCCCAUUUCUAAAAGGGCCUAUCGAGUGUCUGGACCAGAACUGGUAGAACUCAAGAAGCAGAUAGAUGAGAUGUUAGAGAAGGGUUACAUCAGGCCAAGCACCUCGCCUUGGGCCGCCCCAGUAUUGUUUGUAGAGAAGAAAGAUGGUACCAAAAGGAUGUGCAUAGAUUACAGAGCCCUGAAUGAAGUCACUAUUAAGAACAAGUACCCUUUGCCAAGAAUAGAAGAUCUGUUUGACCAACUCAGAGGUGCCAGUGUAUUCUCGAAGAUAGAUCUGAGAUCAGGUUACCAUCAACUCAGAAUCCGACCCUCGGACAUACCGAAGACGGCAUUCAUCACCAAGUAUGGGUUAUAUGAGUUCACAGUUAUGUCCUUUGUUUUGACAAAUGCACCAGCCUUCUUUAUGUACCUGAUGAACAGUGUGUUCAUGGAUUAUCUGGACAAGUUUGUGGUAGUGUUCAUCGACGACAUUCUCAUAUACUCUCAAAGUGAGGAAGAUCAUGUAGAGCAUUUGAAGAUGGUAUUGCAAAGGCUUCGAGAACAUCAGUUGUAUGCCAAGCUGGGCAAAUGCGAGUUCUGGAUUCAUGAAGUCUUGUUUCUGGGUCACAUCAUAAAUCAAGAUGGGUUGGCAGUGGAUCCAAAGAAAGUGGUAGAUAUCCUGAACUGGAAAGCACCAAAGGAUGUUCGUGGGAUCAAGAGCUUCAUCGGAAUGGCUGGAUAUUACAGACGUUUCAUUGAAGGCUUUUCAAAGAUUGCUAGACCAAUGACAGCAUUAUUAGCGAAGAAAGUCGAGUUUAAGUGGACCCAAAAGUGUCAGGAAGCAUUUGAAGAACUGAAGAGUAGAUUGACUACAGCUCCUGUGUUAAUCCUGCCUGAUGUUCACAAGCCAUUCUCAGUGUAUUGCGACGCUUCUUACACCGGAUUGGGAUGUGUGCUAAUGCAAGAAGGAAGAGUUGUAGCAUACUCAUCUCGACAGUUGAAGAUCCAUGAGAAAAAUUAUCCCACCCAUGACCUGGAGUUGGCAGCAGUGGUUCAUGCCUUAAAGACCUGGAGACAUUACCUGUAUGGGUAGAAGUGCGACAUCUACACAGAUCAUAAAAGUCUGAAGUACAUAUUCACCCAGUCAGAGUUAAACAUGAGGCAGCGAAGAUGGUUGGAAUUGAUCAAAUACUAUGAGUUGGAGAUACAUUACCAUCCGGGCAAAGCCAAUGUUGUUGCAGAUGCUCUGAGCAGGAAGAGUCAAGUUAAUAUGUUCGCCUCAUACCCGAUGCCAUAUGAGUUAGCCAAAGAGUUCGACAGACUGAGCCUUGGUUUCCUGAACAGUACGCAAGGAGUAACGGUGGAGUUAGAGCCCACCCUAGAGCGGGAGAUCAAAGAAGGGCAGAAGGAUGAUGAAAACAUCAACAAGAUUCGGCAGCUGAUCUUAGAAGGAAGAGGCAAAGACUUUCGAGAGGAUGAAGAGGGAGUAAUAUGGUUCAAGGACCGAUUGUGUGUUCCCGACCUCAAACCUAUUCGGGAACUGAUUCUCAAGGAAGCCCAUGAGACAGCCUACUCCAUACACCCUGGAAGUGAGAAGAUGUACCAGGAUUUAAAAAGGAGGUUUUGGUGGUAUGGCAUGAAAAGAGAGAUCGCAGAAUAUGUCGCCAUUUGUGAUAGUUGUCAGAGAACCAAAGCAGAGCAUCAGAGGCCUGCCGGAUUGUUGCAGCCAUUGCGGAUUCCUCAGUGGAAGUGGGAUGAGAUCGGGAUGGAUUUUAUAGUUGGCCUACCUCGCACCCGGGCCGGUUAUGAUUCCAUCUGGGUGGUUGUGGACCGCCUAACAAAGGUGGCCCAUUUCAUACCUGUGAAGACAACAUACACCGGAGCAACGUUAGCUGAGUUAUACAUGUCACAGAUAGUCUGCCUUCAUGGUGUGCCGAAGAAGAUAGUGUCAGAUCGAGGAACGCAGUUCACAUCUCAUUUUUGGUAGCAGCUACAAGAAGCUUUGGGCACCCAUUUGAACUUCAGCUCAGCUUAUCACCCGCAGACAGACGGUCAGACUGAAAGAACUAAUCAGAUCCUAGAAGAUAUGUUGAGAGCCUGUGCGUUGCAAGACAAGUCAGGAUGGGACAAAAGAUUACCUUAUGCAGAAUUCUCCUACAACAAUAGUUACCACGCCAGCUUGAAGAUGUCACCGUUUCAGGCACUCUAUGGACGGAGUUGUAGGACUCCGCUGCAUUGGGACCAGCCUGGAGAGAGACAGGUGUUUGGCCCCGACAUCUUUCUUGAAGCCGAAGAGAAUAUCAAAAUGGUUCGGGAGAACCUGAGGAUAGCACAGUCAAGACAGCGAAGCUAUGCGGACCGCAGGAGAAGAGAACUGAGUUUUGAAGUGGGAGACUACGUCUAUCUGAAGGUGUCACCUAUCAGGGGAGUCAGAAGGUUCGGAGUCAAAGGCAAGUUAGCACCCCGGUACGUUGGACCAUAUCAGAUUCAAGCAAAGCGUGGAGAAGUGGCCUACCAGCUCAACCUACCAGAGAGCUUGUCAGCAGUGCACAAUGUGUUCCACGUGUCGCAAUUGAAGAAAUGUCUGCGAGUACCAGAAGAGCAGUUGCCAGUGGAGGGUCUGGAAGUUCAGGAAGAUCUGACCUACAUAGAGAAGCCAACGCAGAUUUUGGAGUUUGCAGACAGGGUCACCCGGAGAAACACCAUCAGAAUGUGCAAAGUCAGAUGGGGUCACCACUCGGAGGAAGAAGCAACCUGGGAACGAGAAGAUGAUCUGAAAGCCAAAUACCCCGAACUCUUUGCUGACCAACCCUGAAUCUCGGGGGCGAGAUUCUGUUAAGGGGGAUAGGUUUGUAACACCCUGAAUUUGGGGGUAUAAAAUUUCUUUGCUCAUAUUCACAAAUUCAGGUGUUACUUUUCUUUCCUCAUCCUUCCCCAAUCUCCUCUCUCUCAUUUCUAUAGGAGAAAAGUGGUUAUCUUAUUUAUAAUUAUAGUCUAUUAGCUCAAACUCCAAGGGAGUAUGAAUUGUUGCAUCAUGUUGAACCCUAGAUUUCACUUUUGUUGGGUGCAUAAUUCUCAAAAAGUCUAAUUUGAAUUUGUGGCUCAUUUGAAUUUGAAUCAAAUAGAGAAAAUAAAAAGAAAAGAGAAAACAAAUACCAAAAUAAAAGAAAAAGGAAAAGAAGCCCGCUUUCCCCGCCCCUCGGCCUUUCGGCCCAGUCGGCCCAUCUCGCGCGCGCCCGCCUCCCGCUCUCUCUGCUCGCCCGGCCCCACCUGUCGGCGCUGCCGCUUCCCCGCGCGUGCGCCCGCUCCCUCGCUCUCUCUCUGCCCGUGGGCCCGGCCCGUCAGCCCCGCUUUCCUCGCGCCCGCACCCGCUUUCUUCUCUCUCUCUGCGCCGCGGGCCCGGCUUGUCAGCUUCUCCGUCUUCGCAUAACCGCCGCCGUGCGUGCCGCGGUCUCCGCGCCCACGUCGCGCGUGGGGCUCGCCCCACCUCGCCCUCGGCCACUUGAGCCCCGAGCCUUGCUCGCCAUCUCCCCCUCCCUCAUUUGCGCACCAACCGGCCCCUCUUCCACCUCUCCCUCGCUGUGCGCACGCCAGAGCGCCGCCGCCGUAAACCCCGCCGUUCCGAGCUCGGUUCCCGGCCGCCGUUGGAGCUCCGCCGUGUCCAUUGCCACGGUGAGCUUCGCCCCGACGUCCGCAACCCGGAACGCGCACCAAUUUCCCCUUCCCCUCCCUAUUUCGCUCUGCCCGCGCUCACCCGCCGUCUGCCGUGCAGCCGCCACCGUCGACCCGGGCCGCCGUCGCGUCUCCGUCGCCACCGAGGAGUCCCCGGAGGCCGCUUUGAGGUAAGGGACCUCUCCCGCCCCUAUUGGCCUUUGUCUUGCUCUCUAUCGCGUUUAAUUCCUCGCCGGAGUAGUUUAGCGCCGCCGCCGAGCCACUCCACCGCGAACCGCCCCCUCCGGUGCCCCUGCCCCAACCUAGUCCCCACCAAAAGGUUCCCCGCGCCCUCCCCAACCUUCCCGGCCACUCAGGUCGCCCCGGGACCCGCAGGGCCCCCGCGCCCCUCGUCUCCGGCGAGUUCUCCGCCGCGGGACGGGCGCCGCCGCCUCAGCUGGCUGGGGAAGGAGACAGGAGCCAGCCGCCCCAUCUCCGCCGUCCAUCUUAGAUCCGACGGCCCUGUUUCAAAUAGCCCGAACCCAGCCUCAGCCGUUCGCCUGAGAUCCAACGGCCCAGAGCCGUUUCCCCCGUGCCCUGCCUCCCUGCCAACUGGGCCCCGCCUGCCAGUCGCCCGCGCUCGCGCUGCCAACUGGGCCCCGCCUGUCAGCCCCGCGCCUGCGCUGCCCGCCCGGCCCCGCCUGUCAGCCGCUCAUGCCGCCGCGCGCCCGCCCGCCCGCCCGCAGGAUCUAAUCCUGGUCGUCCGUUUGAGAUCCAACGACUGUAAGCGCCCGAUACCCUUCGCCCGCGCAUUUUCUUAAAGAACCCCCCUGUUUUCUGGAAAUUGCGCCCGCCGUCCCUGGUUUCUCGCAGUUAGGUCCUCGGACCUUUUAUUUAAUUCAAAAUAGGUCCUUAGGGUAUAAUUUUAACCCCUAAACUUGUAAAAUUCAUAACUUUGUCAUAUGAACUCCAAAUUAGGUGCUUCAAAUUGCAAAAUGUUCAUAAUAUUAUUAUCUAUCUGUUUAUGCAAUGUUUCCCUGCUGCUUCCAUGUCCCAAUUAAUGGUUAAUCAUUAGGAUAAAGUUAAUGUUAUGGGAACCCUAUUUGAGAUAAAUAAAAGAUAGUAGACUUUAAUAAAAGUUGGAGCACUUAAGUUUAUGGACUCAAACACUUAAGUUUAGGAACUUAAACCAGAUAAUUAUUUAAUCCCACCACUGACUUAAACCUGAUUAGUGGAUAAUGAAUCACUUUGUAUAGUCCUCUACCCCAGACCUAGGGAACACUAGAGUGCCUAUCCCUUUUCUACUAUGAACUUGUGUUUUCUCUGCUGCAUAUGUUUGGUAUGUUGCUUUUGUUUGUUACCUUCCCAAGUGCAUAGUGUGAAUGAUUACUUUACGUAGACAACGAGCAGUCUGUGUUUCCCGAGGAGGUUGCAGAGGAAGUCCCUGAUCAGCAGUUUGGUGAAGGCAAGUGUCCUCUGUCCCAUUAUGUCCUAUUCAUUUAUAACUUACUACCCCGCAUUACUCACUUGAAACCUAAGGAUUGACUAGCUUUACACUUUACUUUAUCCUUGAUGACCUUAUGGGCUGUUAUGGUUAGCACUCUGCUAUUGCCUUAACUUAAUCAAUGAACAUGAUGUGACUAUUUAUGAUACUGUUAUCCUGAUGAUGUUGAUGAUCUUGUGAUACUCUAGGGGGCUCAGGCUGUUUCCUGAGCACCUCUCCGUAAGGACUUUUCGUUGAGAGACCACCCGGGAUAACAGUGCAACCAUGAGGGUGAAAUGGGAUGCCCUUAGCUGAUUAAUUAGAUGAACUAGAGGUGUAGUUGCUUCGCCGUCGUGCCGUCAAUGGGGUCCAGGCACAGUGCUUGCUCUGCCAAGGCUGAGUGCCGAGGUUCUUUCGUUUUGCUUUUUGUUAGUCACUCUCCUGCGGGGAGGGGUACUGUGUUUAUCAAACUGGAGAAACCUAACGGGCAGCUAUGAUCUCUAGGGAAUCUUUGUAAAAGCUACGUAGUGAUGCCCUGCCGGACCACCUAGGAAGUGAUCAAUGGGGAUUAGCUCUCCCCGGGCAGAACGGGAAUCACGGCUCAUGGGUAAAGUGUGCAACCUCUGCAGAGGGUAGUGAAACUGAUAUAUCAGCCAUGCUCACGGUUAAGAGCAGCCUUGGGAUCCUCUUUGAUUAGAGAUACAGAUGGUUCGAGAUACAAGGAUUAUGUUAUGGUUUUGGUUCGACUAUGAUGAUGAUGUUCCUCGAUGAGGAAAUGGUUUACGGGUUGGUUAAUGCUAAAAUCUGGCUUCUACUAAUGAUAAAUACCUGACCAACUAAAAGCAACUGCUUGAGCCUAACCCCACAUAAAGCUAGUCCACUUCAGCCAAACGGGACAUUUGCUGAGUACGUUGAUGUGUACUCAUCCUUGCUUUACCACAAAACACCAGGUUGCCCGCAUUGUAACCACUGCUCAGGAGAAGGUGAAGCCGUGGAAGGAGACUUCCAGGAGUUCCAAGACUACGACGAAUUCUAGGUGUGGGUUGGCGGCAACCCCCAGUCAGCUGCCUGUGGAGGCCUUAUCUUUACUGCGUUUCGCUAGUACUUUGAUUUCCCUGUUAAGACAAUGACUAUGUGGAUGUCUAUGACUCUGUGAUGUAAUAAGUUAAUACUCUUUCAUGUUAUUAUUCGAGCAUUGUGCGAUGAUGUUCAUUUAUGUAAUCGCUGUGUACGUGAGUUCUGAUCCUGGCACGUACAUGGUUCGCAUUCGGUUUGCCUUCAAAACCGGGUGUGACAGCGCCAUGGCGAACCCCUCGUUUUCAGCCCAUACGCAAGGCCGAACAGCCCUGCCGCGCGCCUCCUCCCGUUUUCCCUCCGUUCCACCUUGCCCUUCACUCAAGACAUGCCCUUUAGGUUCGGUGUCUUUCCACACGCUUGGACUUAGCUUAUUUUCGAGUUCGUGCCCGAGCCUCCGUUUUCGGCCCGUGCGCCAUGGCGAACACCUCGUUUUCAGCCCAGACGCAAGGCCGAACGGCCCUGCCGCCCGUCGUCGCGUGCCUCCGUGUCGUUUUCCCUCCGUUCCACUGUGCCCUUCACCCAAGACAUACACAUUAGCAUCGGUGUCUUUCUACACGCUUGGACUUAGCUUAUUUCCGAGGUCGUGCCCCAGCCGCCGUUUUCGGCCCGCGCGCCAUGGCGAACGCCUCGUUUUCAGCCCAAACGCAAGGCCGAACAGCCAUGCCGCCCGUCGCCACGCGCCUCCUCCUGUUUUCCCUCCGUUCCACCUUGACCUUCACUCCAGACAUGCACUUUAGGUUCGGUGUCUGUCCACAUGCUUGGACUUAGCUAAUUUUCGAGGUCGUGCCCGAGACUCCGUUUUCGGCCCGUGCGCCAUGGCGAACACCUCGUUUUCAGCCCAAACGCAAGGACGAACAGCCCUGCCGCCGUCGCCCCGCGCCUCCGUGCCCGAGCCUCGGUUCGUCGCGUGCCUCCGUGUCGUUUUCCCUCCGUUCCACUGUGCCCUUCACCGAAGAAAUACACUUUAGAUUUGGUGUCUUUCCACAUGCUUGGACUUAGCUUAUUUUCGAGUUCGUGCCCGAGCCUCCGUUUUCGGCCCGUGCGCCAUGGCGAACACCUCGUUUUCAGCCCAGACGCAAGGCCGAACAGCCAUGCCACACGCCUCCGUGUCGUUUUCCCUCAGUUCCAACAUGCCCUUCACUCAAGCCAUACAUACACCUUAGCUUCGUUGUCUUUCCAUUCCACACGCUUGGACUUAGCUUAUUUUCGGGGUCGUGCCCGAACCUUACUUUUCGCCCCCUGCGCCAUGGGUGAACCCCUCGUUUUCGGCCCAAACGCAAGGCCGAACAGCCAUGCCGCCCGACGUCGCGCGCCUCCGUGUCGUUUUGCCUCCGUUCCACCGUGCCCUUCACUCAAGACUUACACAUUAGCUUCGGUGUCUUUCUACACGCUUGGACUUAGCUUAUUUCCGAGGCCGUGGCCGAACCGUUGUUUUCGGCCCGCGUGCCAUGGCGAACGCCUCGUUUUCAGCCCAAACGCAA